rnacentral:rRNA from 1 species
UACAGAGGUCCCAAGCGUUGUUCGGAUUCGACUGGGCGUAAAGGGUGCGUAGGUGGUCAGGUAAGUCUGAUGUGAAAUCUCUGAGCUCAACUGCAGAAAUGGCAUUGGAUACUAUCUGGCUAGAGGGUCGGAGGGGGGACUGGAAAUUCUCGGUGUAGCAGUGAAAUGCGUAGAUAUCGAAGAGGAACACCAGUGGCGAAGGCGAGUCCCUGGACGACUCCUGACACUGGAGGCAACGAAAGCUAGGGGAGCAAACAGG